AUUGGACGCUGGCGGCAUGCCUUACACAUGCAAGUCGAACGGUAACAGGUCUUCGGAUGCUGACGAGUGGCGAACGGGUGAGUAAUACAUCGGAACGUGCCCGAUCGUGGGGGAUAACGAGGCGAAAGCUUUGCUAAUACCGCAUACGAUCUACGGAUGAAAGCGGGGGAUCUGCGGAGCUCGCGCGGACGGAGGGGCCGAUGGCAGAUUAGGUAGUUGGUGGGAUAAAAGCUUACCAAGCCGACGAUCUGUAGCUGGUCUGAGAGGCUGAUCAGCCACACUGGGACUGAGACACGGCCCAGACUCCUACGGGAGGCAGCAGUGGGGAAUUUUGGACAAAGGGCGAAAGCCUGAUCCAGCCAUGCCGCGUGCAGGAUGAAGGCCUUUGGGUUGUAAACUGCUUUUGUACGGAACGAAAAGCCUCUUUCUAAUACAGAGGGGUCAUGACGGUACCGUAAGAAUAAGCACCGGCUAACUACGUG
rnacentral:rRNA from 1 species